CCUACGGGUGGCUGCAGUCGAGAAUCUUCGGCAAUGCGCGAAAGCGUGACCGAGCAAUGCCGCGUGCGGGAUGAAGGCCCUCGGGUUGUAAACCGCGAAAGUAAGGAGGAAGGCUCUGCGAAGAGCAGAGUUUGACCAAUUUACAGUAAGGACGGGCUAAGUUCGUGCCAGCAGCCGCGGUAAGACGAACCGUCCGAACGUUAUUCGGAAUUAUUGGGCUUAAAGGGUGCGUAGGCGGCCUUGUAAGUCGGGUGUGAAAUCCCACGGCUCAACCG
rnacentral:rRNA from 1 species